UGAACGCUGGCGGCAUGCCUUACACAUGCAAGUCGAACGGCAGCGCGGGGCAACCUGGCGGCGAGUGGCGAACGGGUGAGUAAUAUAUCGGAACGUGCCCUGGAGUGGGGGAUAACGCAGCGAAAGUUGCGCUAAUACCGCAUACGAUCUAAGGAUGAAAGCGGGGGAUUCGCAAGAACCUCGUGCUCCUGGAGCGGCCGAUAUCUGAUUAGCUAGUUGGUGGGGUAAAGGCCUACCAAGGCAUCGAUCAGUAGCUGGUCUGAGAGGACGACCAGCCACACUGGAACUGAGACACGGUCCAGACUCCUACGGGAGGCAGCAGUGGGGAAUUUUGGACAAUGGGCGAAAGCCUGAUCCAGCAGUGCCGCGUGAGUGAAGAAGGCCUACGGGUUGUAAAGCUCUUUUGUCAGGGAAGAAACGGUAUGGGCUAAUAUCCCGUACUAAUGACGGUACCUGAAGAAUAAGCACCGGCUAACUACGUGCCAGCAGCCGCGGUAAUACGUAGGGUGCAAGCGUUAAUCGGAAUUACUGGGCGUAAAGCGUGCGCAGGCGGUUUUGUAAGUUUGUCGUGAAAGCCCCGGGCUCAACCUGGGAAUUGCGAUGAAGACUGCAAGGCUUGAAUCUGGCAGAGGGGGGUAGAAUUCCACGUGUAGCAGUGAAAUGCGUAGAGAUGUGGAGGAACACCGAUGGCGAAGGCAGCCCCCUGGGUCAAGAUUGACGCUCAUGCACGAAAGCGUGGGGAGC
rnacentral:rRNA from 1 species